rnacentral:rRNA from 1 species
UAUGCAAGUCGAGCGCCCGUAGCAAUACGGGAGCGGCAGACGGGAGAGUAACACGUGGGAACGUGCCCUUCAGUUCGGAACAACCCAGGGAAACUUGGGCUAAUACCGGAUACGCCCUUCGGGGGAAAGAUUUAUCGGUGAUGGAUGAGCCCGCGUUGGAUUAGCUAGUUGGUGGGGUAAUGGCCUACCAAGGCGACGAUCCAUAGCUGGUCUGAGAGGAUGAUCAGCCACACUGGGACUGAGACACGGCCCAGACUCCUACGGGAGGCAGCAGUGGGGAAUAUUGGACAAUGGGCGAAAGCCUGAUCCAGCCAUGCCGCGUGAGUGAUGAAGGCCCUAGGGUUGUAAAGCUCUUUCAACGGUGAAGAUAAUGACGGUAACCGUAGAAGAAGCCCCGGCUAACUUCGUGCCAGCAGCCGCGGUAAUACGAAGGGGGCUAGCGUUGUUCGGAAUUACUGGGCGUAAAGCGCACGUAGGCGGAUUGUUUAGUUAGGGGUGAAAUCCCAGGGCUCAACCCUGGAACUGCCUCUAAUACUGGCAAUCUAGAGUCCGAGAGAGGUGAGUGGAAUUCCGAGUGUAGAGGUGAAAUUCGUAGAUAUUCGGAGGAACACCAGUGGCGAAGGCGGCUCACUGGCUCGGUACUGACGCUGA